rnacentral:rRNA from 1 species
GACUCCUACGGGAGGCAGCAGUAGGGAAUCUUCGGCAAUGGACGGAAGUCUGACCGAGCAACGCCGCGUGAGUGAAGAAGGUUUUCGGAUCGUAAAGCUCUGUUGUAAGAGAAGAACGAGUGUGAGAGUGGAAAGUUCACACUGUGACGGUAUCUUACCAGAAAGGGACGGCUAACUACGUGCCAGCAGCCGCGGUAAUACGUAGGUCCCGAGCGUUGUCCGGAUUUAUUGGGCGUAAAGCGAGCGCAGGCGGUUAGAUAAGUCUGAAGUUAAAGGCUGUGGCUUAACCAUAGUACGCUUUGGAAACUGUUUAACUUGAGUGCAGAAGGGGAGAGUGGAAUUCCAUGUGUAGCGGUGAAAUGCGUAGAUAUAUGGAGGAACACCGGUGGCGAAAGCGGCCCUCUGGUCUGUAACUGACGCUGAGGCUCGAAAGCGUGGGGAGCAAACAGGAUUAGAUACCCUGGUAGUCCACGCCGUAAACGAUGAGUGCUAGGUGUUGGGUCCUUUCCGGGACUCAGUGCCGUAGCUAACGCAUUAAGCACUCCGCCUGGGGAGUACGACCGCAAGGUUGAAACUCAAAGGAAUUGACGGGGGCCCGCACAAGA